rnacentral:tRNA from 1 species
GGUGGGGUUCCCGAGCGGCCAAAGGGAGCAGACUGUAAAUCUGCGGUCAUCGACUUCGAAGGUUCGAAUCCUUCCCCCACCACCA